GGCGGCGGCGGUGCCCGGAUGGAGGCACGUCAUUGUCCCCCGCCGGGCGGCUGGGCUGUGUGCGGCGGCGGCGGCGGCCGAGGGGGAUGGAGCGAGCGCCGAGCCGGGUCAGAGGUGGACAAUGACCAUAGUUGACAAAGCUUCUGAAUCUUCAGGCCCGUCAGCCUAUCGGAACCAGCCUGGCGGCUCUGAGGCCGUCUCGCCUGGAGACAUGGACGCGGGGUCUGCCAGCUGGGGGGCGGUGUCUUCGGUAAAUGAUGUGUCAAAUCACACGCUCUCUUUAGGACCAGUACCUGGUGCUGUAGUGUAUUCAAGUUCAUCUGUACCUGAAAAAUCAAAACUAUCACCACAAAAGGAUCAAGCCCUAGGUGAUGGCAUUGCUCCUCCACAAAAAGUUCUUUUCCCAUCUGAGAAGAUUUGUCUUAAGUGGCAGCAAACUCAUAGAGUAGGAGCUGGGCUCCAGAAUUUGGGCAAUACCUGUUUUGCCAACGCAGCGCUGCAGUGUUUAACUUACACGCCACCUCUCGCCAACUACAUGCUAUCGCACGAACACUCCAAGACAUGUCAUGCAGAAGGAUUUUGUAUGAUGUGUACAAUGCAAGCACAUAUUACCCAGGCACUCAGUAAUCCUGGGGAUGUUAUUAAACCGAUGUUUGUCAUUAAUGAGAUGCGGCGCAUAGCUAGGCACUUCCGCUUUGGAAGCCAAGAAGAUGCCCAUGAGUUCCUGCAGUACACUGUUGAUGCUAUGCAAAAAGCAUGCUUGAACGGCAGCAACAAAUUAGACAGACACACCCAGGCUACCACACUCGUUUGUCAGAUAUUUGGAGGAUACCUAAGAUCUAGAGUCAAGUGUUUAAAUUGCAAAGGUGUGUCAGAUACUUUUGAUCCAUAUCUCGAUAUAACAUUGGAGAUAAAGGCUGCUCAGAGCGUCAACAAGGCGUUGGAGCAGUUUGUGAAGCCGGAGCAGCUUGAUGGAGAAAACUCGUACAAGUGCAGCAAGUGUAAAAAGAUGGUUCCAGCUUCAAAGAGGUUCACUAUACACAGAUCUUCUAAUGUUCUUACACUUUCUCUGAAACGUUUUGCAAAUUUUACUGGUGGAAAAAUUGCUAAGGAUGUGAAAUAUCCUGAGUAUCUUGAUAUUCGACCGUAUAUGUCUCAGCCAAAUGGAGAACCGAUCAUUUAUGUUUUGUAUGCAGUACUGGUACACACUGGUUUUAAUUGCCAUGCUGGCCAUUACUUCUGCUACAUAAAAGCUAGCAAUGGCCUCUGGUACCAAAUGAAUGACUCCAUCGUAUCUACCAGUGAUAUUAGAUCGGUACUCAGUCAACAAGCUUAUGUUCUCUUUUAUAUCAGGUCCCACGAUGUGAAAAACGGAGGUGAACUUAGUCAUUCCGCCCACAGCCCUGGCCAGUCCUCUCCCCGACCGGUGGUCAGCCAGCGGGUUGUCAGCAGCAAACAGGCGGCGUCCGGGUUUAUGGGAGCACAGCUUCCCUCUCGCAUGAUGCAGAACCCACCUCAUCUAAAUGGGACGGGACCCUUGAAGGAAACGCCGAGCAGCUCCAUGUCAAGUCCUAACGGGAAUUCCAAUGUCAGUAGGACUGGCCCUGUUAACGCCUCAACGUCUGUUCAGAACUGGUCAGUUAACAGGCCUUCAGUUAUUCCAGAACAUCCCAAGAAACAGAAAAUCACGAUCAGUAUUCACAACAAGUUACCUGUGCGCCAAGGUCAGUCUCAGCCUACCCUUCACAGCAAUUCUUUGGAGAGCCCUAACAAGCCUGCCCCGUCUUCUACCAUUACCACUUCUUCUGCAAUACAGUCUACCUCGAGUGCCCCCGUGAUGCCCGCGUCUAGUAAGGUCACAAAGCAGAUCACCCUGAGGGAGUCCUGCCCUGAGCCUCUGAUGAACGGCAGGUCCAAGCUGAGCUCCGGCGUGCUGGUCCCGUAUGGUGCCGAGUCGUCCGAAGAGUCCGACGAGGAGGCGAAGGGCCUCGGCAAGGAGAACGGUCUUGGUCCCCCCGAGAGUGCGUGCGCCCCUGCCCCGGAGGCCGAAGAUGUCGGGGCCUCUCCGCACGAGCUCCGAGAGCCCGUGGCUCUAAAUGGUGCUACCAGUACGGACAGUGACCCGAAAGAAAACGGCCUGCCCUCGGAUGCUGCCACCUGCCAAGUCCAGCCUGCUCUACACUCAGAAAACCCCUUUUCUAAGGCAAACGGUCUCCCUGGGAAGUUGAUGCCCGCUCCUUUGCCACCUCUCCCAGAAGACAAAAUCUUAGAGACCUUCAAACCCAGCAGCAAAGGGAAAGGCUGCACAGAUGAGACGAGUACGACUGGGACAGAGGAGAGGCCUCCGCAGGACCCUGAGGCUGACCUGGAGGCUGGCAGCUCCGCUCCCGAUUCCCGUGAGAACCUGGAGCUGGUCACGAGCCUUAGCAGCAAAUUCAAGAAGGUUUUGUCGCCCUCGGACCCCAGCAUCAAACCUACCAAAGAAGAAGUCUCUGAAAACAUUUUGGCAAAACCCGAGGAGGCUUUGCCGAGUAUCAACACCUUUUGUAACACCAACAAGGAUACCCUCGGGGAUGAUCAGCUUCCUAAACCGUGUGACCCUGGGAAUUUAACAAAUGAUCAGAGCAAACCGUCCCAGGACGUGAAAGGGAUGUUACCAGAGUGUCCCCAGGACCCGGCGGCAGCAGAAGCAGCGGGGAGGCUGAGCCCGAGUCCCUUGUCACGUACCGAGGGCGACUGUGAGCCUGAGCCCUUGGGUCACAGCAGUCGGGACAGAGGCACGGAUGUGGAGGGUCCCCCUCAAAGCACAGGGGUGUCCGCAGAUGGGGUGCCCUCUCCGCAAUUAGACAGGAUCGCAGAAAACCGUCCAGAGGGGGUCCCCGAGCAAAGUAACGGUGAGAGAGGUGAAGAUGGUAAGGCCGGGCAGAAGGUCCAGGAGGCUUGUCCAGUGCAGGAAAAAAUCAGCAGCCUCAGAAAGGUGGACCGAGGACAUUACCGCAGCCGGCGAGACCGGUCGUCCAGCGGCGAGCGCGUGCGGGCGAGCAGGAGCAGGACCGAGGACCAGCGUCGCCGGAAGCGGCCCCGCCACGGGCGGGAGCAGCCCCGGUCCGAGUGGCCCGAGCCCUGCGCCGCGGCCCCGCACGCCUCCUGCCCCGGGUCCCUGGCCAGGUCCGGCCACCGGCGCUCCCGGAGCAGGGGGGCCCCCGACCAGGAGUGGGGCCGCUACCACCACGGCGAGGGCGAGCACGCCUGGGCCUGGGAGAAGCACUACCCGGACAGGAUGCGCUGGGGGCGGUGCAGGUACCACCACGACAGGUGCGCCCCGUACCCGGCCCGCGAGCCGCGGGACUGGAGGCCCUUCCACGCCGAGCGAGAGUACGACCGAGCCGGGCCCUAUGGCGGCCGGCCGUACAAGGACCACUACAGAGGCCGGAAGGGCUACGAGCCGGCGGCCAAAGAGAGGGACCGGCACCGCUUCAGCAGCCCCCGGGCGGGCCUGGCCCACGCGCCCCCUCCGCACCCCGCUGACAAGCACGCCCACGAAAAGGCUGCGCUGGGGGCUGAAGACAGCAGCUGUGGCCUCGCCGGUCGGUUUCACGAACACAAGGACGUCAAGUCACGGAAACCGAGGUACGGUAGUGUAGGGAAUGAUGACAGUCACGUAGAAAAGAAAGCCUGGAGAAGCUUACAAAAGGAUCCUUUAGAGGAGCCUAAAGUGAAGAAGCACAAAAAAUCAAAGAAGAAAAAGAAAUCCAAAGACAAACACCGAGACCGAGAUUCCAGGCAUCAGCAGGACUCAGACCUUUCGGUAGCGCACUCUGAUGCUGACCUCCACAGACACAAGAAGAAGAAGAAGAAGAAGAAGAGGCACUCAAGGAAAUCGGAGGACUUGGUUAGAGAUUCAGAACCACACUUGCCCAAGGCCGCCAGCUGUGAGACUGUGGACCAUUUCCGGAGAGCGGACAGCGCUUUCCCCCUCACAAACGGCCAGCCUCUGGAGGGUGUGGGACCUUUCCGUGAGAAAACAAAACAUUUCUGGAUGGAAACCAGGGAUGACAGGUGUCAUCCGUCUGACUGUGGCCAGGCCUUUUCUACUCUGAUUGCUCUGAAAGCAGCCCCCCUUGCUUCCUCAUCUGUUCCGAUGACCUUCGACCCUGGAAGGAGUGCUGAGCGUAUUUGAGGGGGCCGGGGGCCUAGGGCAGGGCUGGACUGGCCACCGUCUUUGCGCGGCCUGACGGUAAGGAAGAAUUUGACGUUUUUAAAUGGUUGGAAGAGUCAAAAGAAGAAUAUUUCAUUUCACAUGAAAAUCAUGGGAAAUUGAGGUGUCUGUAGAGCCGCAAUGAGCCCAGCCCGGCCCGCCCGUCCGCCCGUCCACAGGGAAAGGUGUGCUGGCCUCGCCCUGGACCCCUGAGGCAGACCCCCGCGACCCUGCCCGCUGUCCUAGAUGCCCAGGGGCCACGGGGUUCUCGACUGCGUCCUGGACCCGGGUGAGGUGUCGUUUGUUCGGGGGCAGCCCUGUCCCGUGCGGUGGCCCCGGUCCCACGGUGGGUGGUGGAGGACGGACAGAGGGCCGCGCAGCGCUCUGGCGUUUGGGAGGAGCAGAGAGCAGAAGGGGUGGCGUGUUCCUGAGUGGCGGGGGCAUGCUGGGGCGCGCGGCGUGGGUGAGGAGUCGUCGGGGCGGCAGGAGAGGGACGCUACCGGUGGGCUUGCUCUGUGUUUGUUAAGAGGGGAAUUAUUUGCAUUUCCGCACUGGUUUCCCAUGAACAGUUCAGCGAUUCGGGGAAGGCACUUGGUGGGGAUGAGUCCCUGCUGACGUCUGCUUGGUGCUUGGGGCGAAGUGGAGACGGGCUGUUCGUGUGCAUUCUGCGCAGGUCCGCGGGGAUUCUACGUUUUUGCCAGAAUCUUCCCCUUCCGGCUGCAGGUCUCUGGUGAGGACCACAGCUGGAGGCCGCCAGCGCACCCGCAGAGCUGGCUCGGGGGACAGUAGGUGGCGUGCAAAGCCCAGUAGUGGGCAUGUGGUGGCCCAGACGCGCGUCUCCAGAGGCUGCAGGCAGGGGGGUGGCCCCUUUCCUGUCCUCAAUCUGAUGGCGCCCAAUGACUGGUGUGCUCCUGGCUUGGGCGCCCGCCCCGUCCUGACCUCCCGGGAAGGGCCACCUGCUCGGGCCCAGACCACGCAUCGCUGUCGGCUGGUGGAGGCCAGACCUCUUGGCCUGCGUGUGUCUGUCCUGGCGCCCUGACCACUGACCUCUCUUCCAGACUCCUGUUCUCUGGCGCCAUCAAGCUCUCGAUUUCUCUGGCCUAAGAUCUGUUCUCACCUAAUGUUGAAACGCUGAUGGGUUUACUGGGGUCAGAGUGGACUAUGCCCGAGGGGACGUGGCCCUCAGUUGUCACCUCAACUCUUGUUUUCAGUGAAGCACUUGGAGACACAGCUUGUGUAGGACUGAUUUCAGGCAACAGACAUUAAGCUUCUGAGGACUGCUUCUGAGUGUAGUCACGUAACGCACACACAGCGUAGGCACUAAAAUUUUUGCAAAACCAUCAUUAAAAUGUUUCCUAACCUUUGCUUUGUAGGUGAUUGAAAACGUGGCCUCAAAACAAAAAAUUCACUAGUUACGAUUCAACGUGUUCAACAGAAGCCAUCCCCAACCCAGCUUAAAUUAUAAAUAGAGAAAAUAACUUUGUUCAAAUCUGCGUGGUGCUUCUUUAGUAAAUACUGUACAGAUUUUACCAUGGAGGACUUUUUUUUUUUUUAGUUUUUACCACCUUUUCUUAAUUACCCUUAUUCCAAAUGAACACUUUCUACAACUGCUGACCAUUGUAAAAUAAGACUGUGUGUAUAUAAAUCACAUUGAAAAUAACGCCCUGGACUAGAACAUCUCAAAUGCUGCUUAAUCACAGACUCAGGUUGAUCACUCGUAUUCCAUGUAACGCUCCUCCAGGCCGGACGUCCGGUGCAAGACCAACCGGGAAACCAUGGAAUUAGUAAAAGUACAAACUGACAGCGUGUAUAUUUAAUUUAAAAACUUAUUUAAAGAUUCACAAGCUCUCAACUCGACUUUUGAGAGCAGUCGUCUGUUUUCUGUAAUGUCUGAUACUAGAAACUAAUUUGCUUCAUAUUUUAGUUGUAUUCAAGAUUUGAAGAUGUAUUUUAUAGACAAGUUCUGUUUUUGAACUUUGUGGAACUAUUCCAAUCAAUUUACCAGUUAUGAUGAGUAUUUACAUUAUGAAUGUAUAAUCCGAACAUUAUUUGUAAGGCCUACAGUAUGUUUUUGUUACGUAACAACACUUUUUUAUACAGUGUCUCUCGUCUUGACUGAUAUUGGAGUCUGACUUGUCAGCUUGGUCCCUUAAAGUUUCUAGUUACAGACAAAAAUCAUACUGUGAUUUUAUUUUUAAUAUGGAUAUGCUAUCAAACUGUGAUACACUUAUAAUUCACUGGUCCUGCAUCAGGAGUUGGAGUGGGGAAAGCUGUAUUUAAUACAGUUUGUAUCUGAAUAAUCUGUAUGGUUUAUACAGUUUGUGUUGUUCAGAGAUGUCUAAAGUUUGAUCUUUGUUUUUUUAAAGAUUAAAAAAGCACUUGCCCCACUGUAAAUAUACAGCAUGUAAAAUUUAUAUAGUAUA